rnacentral:rRNA from 1 species
AGCACAGAGGAGCUUGCCUCCUUGGGUGACGAGUGGCGGACGGGUGAGUAGUGUCUGGGGAUCUGCCCGAUAGAGGGGGAUAACCACUGGAAACGGUGGCUAAUACCGCAUAACGUCGCAAGACCAAAGAGGGGGACCUUCGGGCCUCUCACUAUCGGAUGAACCCAGAUGGGAUUAUCUAGUAGGCGGGGUAGUGGCCCACCUAGGCGACGAUCCCUAUCUGGUCUGAGAGGAUGACCACCCACACUGGAACUGAGACACGGUCCACACUCCUACGGGAGGCAGCAGUGGGGAAUAUUGCACAGUGGGCGCAAGCCUGAUGCACCCAUGCCGCGUGUAUGAAAAAGGCCUUCGGGUUGUAAAGUACUUUCAGCGGGGAGGAAGGCGACGGGGUUAAUAACCCUGUCUAUUGACGUUACCCGCAAAAGAAGCACCGGCUAACUCCGUGCCAGCACCCGCGGUAAUACGGAGGGUGCAAGCGUUAAUCAGAAUUACUGGGCGUAAAGCGCACGCAGGCGGUCUGUUAACUCAUAUGUGAAAUCCCCGGGCUUAACCUGGGAACUGCAUUUGAAACUGGCAGGCUUGACUCUUGUAGAGGGGGGUAGAAUUCCGGGUGUAGCGGUGAAAUGCGUAGAGAUCUGGAAGAAUACCGGUGGCGAACGCGGCCCCCUGGACAAAGACUGACUCUCAUGUGCGAGAGCGUGGAGAGCACACAGGAUUAUAUACUCUGGUACUCCACGCCGUACACGAUGUCGACUUGGAGGUUGUUCCCUUGAAGAGUGUCUUCCAGAGCUAACGC